GAAAUUAUACAUUAUUAUCUGCUUUAAAAUUUUAAUCUAUAUAAAAAUUCAUUACUCAAUAUAUUUUUUUUGUCAGAUGAAUCCAUUAGUAUAAAUUAUAUGUUUUUAUUAUAAAAGCCAUUUUUAUUUUAUUUUAAAGAAUUCAAAUAGAAAAUUCACAUUCUAUCAACACAAUAUUCAAAGCCUAAUUAUGAGUUGUAUGGAGAAGAAUCCUUCUCACGUAUGACAGUUUUUU
rnacentral:lncRNA from 1 species